rnacentral:lncRNA from 1 species
GGGUAAGGGGUCCUUACUUAAUUCGAUGUUGAAAAUUGAAUUUUAACUGCGGCUACGGGCAGUCCCUGGAUUCCCUGAAUUUUUUCCUCGGGAACUGAAAUGCGCUUACAGUACCUACACAUGUCCCAAAAAACUCAAAAAUCAGACCCAAGGCCUAUUCGACCAAUUUUAAAAUUUCAGCACGGUGGCUCUGCCAUGCUCCGACGAUGGUGUCGCCGCGAGUGGUGGCGAUCCGCCUCGGGUUGGCUAUUUCCGGCUGAAUUCAGUCAAACUUGCAUUGGUUCCUGUGAGAAAACACCUGUAGGGAACAGAUCUCAGCCGUUCGAUCGCGCACACGCAGAUCACCCACGUGGCUCCUUUCCACGUGGCCUCCUGCGUCAGUGUCUCUGCCACGCGGCGUGUCCUGGUUGGCCGGGGCUGCUAACC